rnacentral:rRNA from 1 species
AAAGGAAUAGACGGGGGCCCGCACAAGCGGUGGAGCAUGUGGCUUAAUUCGAGGCAACGCGAAGAACCUUACCUGGGUUUGACAUCAGCCGGACGGGGUGUGAAAGCACUCUUUCCGCAAGGACUGGCUGACAGGUGCUGCAUGGCUGUCGUCAGCUCGUGUCGUGAGAUGUUCGGUUAAGUCCGGCAACGAGCGCAACCCGCAUUGUCAGUUGCCAGCAGGUCAAGCUGGGCACUCUGGCGAAACUGCCCGUGUUAAGCGGGAGGAAGGUGCGGAUGACGUCAAGUCAGUAUGGCCCUUACGCCCAGGGCUGCACACGUGCUACAAUGGGCGGUACAAUGGGAGGCAAGACCGCAAGGUGGAGCAAAUCCUAAAAACCGUCCUCAGUUCAGAUUGCAGUCUGCAACCCGACUGCAUGAAGCCGGAAUCGCUAGUAAAGGCGUAUCAGCUACGACGCCUUGAAUACGUUCCCGGGCCUUGUACACACCGCCCGU